CUAACAUAUGAUGAUCCAAAGAUAAGUCCUCGAUCGAAGGUUGCCGAGGAAGUAACCUGUCAAGAGCAUGCAUGUACGUCCCAGCAGAUAGUGAAAAUUGCUCUACAAUUUUCUUAAUUUUGAAUCAGAGUUUAAACUUCAAACAAAGCAGCAGUCCAACAUUACAAUUUCAACUGGACAUUGAAAAUACAAAAGUUUUUACAAGCACCACUUUGCCUCCCCCCAAACAACAGAAACAGAAACAGAAACAAUGGACAAACUUGAAUCAAAAGUAAUAUGGUCAAACUCACGUGCAUAAUAAUAAUCUUUAGCAGCCAUUCAGGCAUGCAACACUGACUAUUUCUAGAAAAAUGAUGGACUAUGAAAUCGUUCAUAAAAAAAGUGCAUCAGUCUAGCAUUUCCUCAAUCAAUCAAAUAUAUGAGUGAGAUCCUUCCAAUGAAGAAUUCAGUGUCAGUUGUACUAAUUAAUUCAAUGUCACAUCUCCUAUAGAUUCUUCUUGUUAUUCUUGCCUCUUUUUUUUUAAUUUAAUUUUGAACAUGGUCAGUCGUCAUCGUUAGGAUUUCCAAUUUGGAUGGCACUUAAUAUUAAAACAGUUUUUGCAGUAGAAUUUUAUAUUCGCAAAUCAAGUGAAAGAUGAAUCAAGGAGCUCAAUAUUCGAAUUGAGUUCAGAUAGUAAGAGCUCAUUAAUUUAAAUUUUAGUCCUCC
rnacentral:lncRNA from 1 species